GCCAGACUCCUACGGGAGGCAGCAGUGGGGAAUAUUGGGCAAUGGGGGGAACCCUGAUCCAGCGACGCCGCGUGAGUGAAGAAGUAUUUCGGUAUGUAAAGCUCUCUCAGCAGGGAAGAAAGAAAUGACGGUACCUGACUAAGAAGCCCCGGCUAACUACGUGCCAGCAGCCGCGGUAAUACGUAGGGGGCAAGCGUUAUCCGGAUUCACUGGGUGUAAAGGGAGCGUAGACGGCGACGCAAGUCUGGAGUGAAAGCCCGGGGCCCAACCCCGGGACUGCUCUGGAAACUGCGUCGCUGGAGUACGGGAGGGGCAGGCGGAAUUCCUGGUGUAGCGGUGAAAUGCGUAGAUAUCAGGAGGAACACCGGCGGCGAAGGCGGCCUGCUGGACCGCGACUGACGUUGAGGCUCGAAAGCGUGGGGAGCGAACAGGAUUAGAUACCCUUGUAU
rnacentral:rRNA from 1 species